rnacentral:tRNA from 1 species
GCGGCCGGGGUGCCGGCGGCCUGGCACGACGACCUGACCACGGUCGUCGUCGGCUACCUGCUGAUGCGCCUGGCGAUGGUCGCGCAGUGGCUGCGC